GGUCGCGUGGCCCAAUGGCAAGGCGUUUGACUACGAUUCACUGUACAUCAAAAGAUUGUGGGUUCGAUCCCCACCGUGACCU